rnacentral:lncRNA from 1 species
GAAGGUGAGCUUCUGGAGAUUAGGGACACUCUUCCUUCUCUACUUGGAUCCCAACCUUUAGCACAUUGCUCUCCCACAGCAACCCGGGGACAGCUUCCUUGUUCAGAGUCUGCACCCGCUCUGGAUUUCAAUCAGCUAGGUCCACGGAAGAGCAGUCCCUGGGGACCCCCAGGCAGAGACACCCCCCUUGAGUCAUCAGCCCCCAGGGACCUUUCCUUCCAGGUCACCGUCUUGAAUGAGGUCAGGCUCCAAAUGAGGCUCUGGGGGGCCCCUAAUUCAGGGCAGGGGCGCCGUCAGAUCUCUGAGCAUCAGGCCUGGCCCAAACGGAGAGGCAAAAGAGGGACCGCAGAGCGGCUCCGGGAGAAGAUCUGGUCCAACAAACGCGGUCAAAGCGAAUGGAAUUCUAUCAUUUCAUAAGGCAGGGCCUCCUGAGUGUCAUGGCAUCCAGCCAUCUCAGGUCACAAAUGGACAAAACAGGGGCCAGAGAAGAGAGCAGACUAUUCAGGGUCACCCCAGGGUGCUAGUAAGUGGAAGAUCCAGGAGUCGGCCCAACCGUCCAGGAUGCCCCAUGUUCUAAGCUUUCACUCAGACCGGUCACCCGUGUUGUGAGAUGCCUGUCAGAUCUGACACCCCCUGCUCUAAGGCCCUUCCUAACUCUGGCACCCCCUUUUCUAAGGCCCCUUCUAGCCCUGUCACCCCUGUUCUAAGAUCCCUCUCAGAUCUGACACUCCCUGCUCUAAGGCCCCUCCUAACCCUGACACCCCCUUUUCUAAGGCCCCUUCUAGCCCUGUCACCCCUGUUCUAAGACCCCUCUCAGAUCUGACACCCCCUGCUCUAAGGCCCCUCCUAACCCUGACACCCCCUUUUCUAAGGCCCCUUCUAGCCCUGUCACCCCUGUUCUAAGAUCCCUCUCAGAUCUGACCCCCCCUGCUCUAAGGCCCUUCCUAACUCUGACACCCCCUGUUCUAAGCCUCCCUUCAGCCCUGUCACCCCCUUUUCCAAGUUCUCUCCUAGCCCUGACAUUCUCUGUUCUAAAGUUCCUUCCUAGUUCUGAUACCUCCUGUCCUAAGACCCCUCUCAGAUCUGACACCCCCUGCUCUAAGGCCCCUCCUAACCCCGACACCCCCUUUUCUAAGGCCCCUUCUAGCCCUGACAUUCUCUGUUCUAAGGUUCCUUCCCAGUUCUGACACCCCCUUUUCUAAGGUCUCUCCUAGCCCUGACACCUCCUUUUUCUUUUUUUGUUUCCUUUUAAUCCAAUGUAUUUAGUUUUAUACAACUGAAAGAAAUUACUAUCUGAAAAGAUUUAUAUGGUGCACCAGAUGCCAA